AUUCACAGAAGUCAUCCAUAUAAACUUUUGGCCAAUAUUCCUCAUUGCAUUUUCUCUCUCCUAUUAUUUGUGUUCAUCUGGAUCGAAUGUGUGCAUUGUUUCUCUCUUCUU